GUGCCAGCAGCCGCGGUAAUACGGAAGGGGCAAGCGUUGUUCGGAAUCAUUGGGCGUAAAGGGCGCGUAGGUGGUCUUGUGUGUCUACCGUGAAAUCACGCGGCUCAACCGCGUUCCGUCGGUAGAAACUGCAGGACUAGAGGCUGGGAGGGGCUGGUGGAAUUCCCUGUGUAGCGGUGAAAUGCGUAGAGAUGGGGGAGAACACUCGUGGCGAAGGCGGCCAGCUAGACCAGUUCUGACACUGAGGCGCGAUAGCGUGGGGAGCAAACAGGAUUAGAAACCCUUGUAGUCC
rnacentral:rRNA from 1 species